ACUCCUGCGGGAGGCAGCAGUGGGGAAUAUUGGACAAUGGGCGCAAGCCUGAUCCAGCCAUGCCGCGUGAGUGAUGAAGGCCCUAGGGUUGUAAAGCUCUUUCACCGGUGAAGAUAAUGACGGUAACCGGAGAAGAAGCCCCGGCUAACUUCGUGCCAGCAGCCGCGGUAAUACGAAGGGGGCUAGCGUUGUUCGGAUUUACUGGGCGUAAAGCGCACGUAGGCGGACUAUUAAGUCAGGGGUGAAAUCCCGGGGCUCAACCCCGGGACUGCCUUUGAUACUGGUAGUCUUGAGUUCGAGAGAGGUGAGUGGAAUUCCGAGUGUAGAGGUGAAAUUCGUAGAUAUUCGGAGGAACACCAGUGGCGAAGGCGGCUCACUGGCUCGAUACUGACGCUGAGGUGCGAAAGCGUGGGGAGCAAACAGGAUUAGAAACCCCAGUAGUCCCA
rnacentral:rRNA from 1 species